rnacentral:rRNA from 1 species
AGAGUUCGAUCCUGGCUCAGGAUGAACGCUGGCGGCGCGCCUAACACAUGCAAGUCGAACGGCACCCACCUCCGGGUGGAAGCGAGUGGCGAACGGCUGAGUAACACGUGGAGAACCUGCCCCCUCCCCCGGGAUAGCCGCCCGAAAGGACGGGUAAUACCGGAUACCCCGGGGUGCCGCAUGGCACCCCGGCUAAAGCCCCGACGGGAGGGGAUGGCUCCGCGGCCCAUCAGGUAGACGGCGGGGUGACGGCCCACCGUGCCGACAACGGGUAGCCGGGUUGAGAGACCGACCGGCCAGAUUGGGACUGAGACACGGCCCAGACUCCUACGGGAGGCAGCAGUGGGGAAUCUUGCGCAAUGGGGGGAACCCUGACGCAGCGACGCCGCGUGCGGGACGGAGGCCUUCGGGUCGUAAACCGCUUUCAGCAGGGAAGAGUCAAGACUGUACCUGCAGAAGAAGCCCCGGCUAACUACGUGCCAGCAGCCGCGGUAAUACGUAGGGGGCGAGCGUUAUCCGGAUUCAUUGGGCGUAAAGCGCGCGUAGGCGGCCCGGCAGGCCGGGGGUCGAAGCGGGGGGCUCAACCCCCCGAAGCCCCCGGAACCUCCGCGGCUUGGGUCCGGUAGGGGAGGGUGGAACACCCGGUGUAGCGGUGGAAUGCGCAGAUAUCGGGUGGAACACCGGUGGCGAAGGCGGCCCUCUGGGCCGAGACCGACGCUGAGGCGCGAAAGCUGGGGGAGCGAACAGGAUUAGAUACCCUGGUAGUCCCAGCCGUAAACGAUGGACGCUAGGUGUGGGGGGACGAUCCCCCCGUGCCGCAGCCAACGCAUUAAGCGUCCCGCCUGGGGAGUACGGCCGCAAGGCUAAAACUCAAAGGAAUUGACGGGGGCCCGCACAAGCAGCGGAGCAUGUGGUUUAAUUCGAAGCAACGCGAAGAACCUUACCAGGUCUUGACAUCCGUGUAAAGCCGCAGAGAUGCGGUGUGAGCUUGCUCAAUACGAGACAGGUGGUGCAUGGUUGUCGUCAGCUCGUGUCGUGAGAUGUUGGGUUAAGUCCCGCAACGAGCGCAACCCUU